GGAGAAGGGCGCAGGCUGAAGGGACCAGAACAAGACACAGAUGAAGAUUUAGUAUGUGAGGAGUCUGAAGAUUUAGAGAGGGAAAGACCUCGUCCUCAGGGUUCCUCUCCUGUUGAGGAAUUCCCAACCACAGAGAAAUACGCAAAACAAGCUGAAGGUGACUUCUAUGACUCACCCGCCAAGAGUUCCAAAAAAAGCAAAAGGACUGGUCUCGGCUCACUGUUUGACAA